rnacentral:rRNA from 1 species
GAUCCUUCCGUAGGUGAACCUGCGGAAGGAUCAUUACCGAGUGCGGGUUCCAACGAGCCCAACCUCCCACCCGUGUUUACCAUGACCGCGUUGCCUCGGCGGGCCCACUGGGGCCUGGCCCCGGUCGCCGGGGGGCUUCUGCCCCCGGGUCCGCGCCCGCCGACGCACCCUGGAACCCUGUCUGAAUAGUGAGUCUGAGUCUAUGAUCAAAUCAUUAAAACUUUCAACAACGGAUCUCUUGGUUCCGGCAUCGAUGAAGAACGCAGCGAAAUGCGAUAAGUAAUGUGAAUUGCAGAAUUCCGUGAAUCAUCGAAUCUUUGAACGCACAUUGCGCCCCCUGGCAUUCCGGGGGGCAUGCCUGUCCGAGCGUCAUUUCUGCCCUCCAGCCCGGCUGGGUGUUGGGUGUUGUCCCCCCGGGGACACGCCCCAAAGGCAGUGGCGGCGCCGCGUCGGGUCCUCGAGCGUAUGGGGCUUUGUCACCCGCUCGGGACGGACUCGUCGGCGCUGUCUUCCUCCAGGCGACCCUUCGGGCCCGUCUAACCUUUCGGUGGACCUCGGAUCAGGUAGGGUUACCCGCUGAACUUAAGCAUAUCAAU